rnacentral:rRNA from 1 species
AAUACCGCAUACGUCCUACGGGAGAAAGCAGGGGACCUUCGGGCCUUGCGCUAUCAGAUGAGCCUAGGUCGGAUUAGCUAGUUGGUGAGGUAAUGGCUCACCAAGGCUACGAUCCGUAACUGGUCUGAGAGGAUGAUCAGUCACACUGGAACUGAGACACGGUCCAGACUCCUACGGGAGGCAGCAGUGGGGAAUAUUGGACAAUGGGCGAAAGCCUGAUCCAGCAAAGCCGCGUGUGUGAAGAAGGUCUUCGGA